CUAAUUAUAGGAACUCUAAUUGGGUGAAGGAAAUAAGUGUGCAUGAGCAAGGAUUUGGGUUAUAAUGAAGGAAGUGAAAACCCUAAUUAAAUGAUUUGGGUUGGAUAAGAAUUUAAAGUAUUGGACUAUGUCAAUUUCUUAUGGCAUAAGAACUUAAUUUAUUAGAAAGCUCAAAACUUGAUCCAAGUAUGGAGGGACUUUUUGGUUAUUGGUUUAGUAAAAUAAAAAGCCAAACUUGGAGCUUAAAUAGACCACAUGGCCGGCCAUGGGAAGCAACAAAAA
rnacentral:lncRNA from 1 species